CACUAAAUAAAGGUUUCUUCUUCCACACUGUGGUCCUGAGCUGCUGCUCAGUUAAAUUAAGCCGUUUGUUGUUCAGCAAAAUACCACAGAGCUUCCUCGUGGUGGAGUCCUGCCAUCUCCGCAAGGCACAGAAAGCACCUGAGAGACCAUUUCAAGCAAAAUGCACUUGUUAGAGUGCUUGAUGGCACAGGAAUGGGAGGACACUUGUGACAGCACCAGGGACUGAGGAUGGACAUUUCCUUCCCUUCCAAAUCUUGAUAGAUGUCACUGCACAACAAGACAUUUUAUAAUACGACUUCUCCUCCAACACACAAUUUAAUGGCACAGAAACACAGCAUGAAUGAUCAUUUUCAGUUAUACCUUUUUGGCGCUUUCGGGAUUGCCACAGUCCUGGCAAUAGCCCUGCUCUUCGUACUGUACUGUAAAAAGUACCGGCAUUUAUACCAAGAGCUAAAACUGCUCCAACAUGCCAACAAACUCACUCACAUUUCCAACGACAUGUCCCAUGAAAAUGUGCCGGACGCCUCUGUGCAGUGCAUGCGUUACCAGGUUGAGAUGGAAUGUGUAACAAGUGGCACCUUACGCAGGGAAACAGAGCCACAUUACAACAGAUCUGUGUGGAAGCCUCCAGC